rnacentral:rRNA from 1 species
AUUGAACGCUGGCGGAAUGCUUUACACAUGCAAGUCGAACGGCAGCACGGACUUCGGUCUGGUGGCGAGUGGCGAACGGGUGAGUAAUACAUCGGAACGUGCCCAGUCGUUGGGGAUAACGUAGCGAAAGCUACGCUAAUACCGCAUACGAUCUAAGGAUGAAAGCGGGGGAUCGCAAGAACUCGCGCGAUUGGAGCGGCCGAUGGCAGGUUAGGUAGUUGGUAGGGUAAAGGCCUACCAAGCCGACGAUCUGUAGCUGGUCUGAGAGGAUGAUCAGCCACACUGGGACUGAGACACGGCCCAGACUCCUACGGGAGGCAGCAGUGGGGAAUUUUGGACAAUGGGCGCAAGCCUGAUCCUGCCAUUCCGCGUGCAGGAUGAAGGCCUUCGGGUUGUAAACUGCUUUUGUACAGAACGAAAAGGCUCUGGUUAAUACCCGGGGCUCAUGACGGUACUGUAAGAAUAAGCACCGGCUAACUACGUGCCAGCCGCCGCCGUAA